UACGGAGGGGGCGAGCGUUAUUCGGAAUUAUUGGGCGUAAAGGGCGCGUAGGCGGCUUGAUGUGUCAAAGGUGAAAUCCCUCGGCUCAACUGAGGAACUGCCUUUGAAACUGUCUGGCUUGAGGCCGGGAGAGGGUAGCGGAAUUCCGGGUGUAGCGGUGAAAUGCGUAGAUAUCCGGAGGAACACCGGUGGCGAAGGCGGCUUCCUGGACCGAUUACUGACGCUGAGGCGCGAAAGCUAGGGGAGCAAACGGG
rnacentral:rRNA from 1 species